UGCUUUUGUGGCCUAGUGGUUAGAGCAUCCGACUUGGAUCCGGGAAGUCGCGGGUUUGAACCCAGGCCGAGUCAG